rnacentral:rRNA from 1 species
ACAGCAGUAGCCGCGGGAAUACAGAGGGUGCGAGCGUUAAUCGGAUUUACUGGGCGUAAAGCGUGCGUAGGCGGCUUUUUAAGUCGGAUGUGAAAUCCCUGAGCUUAACUUAGGAAUUGCAUUCGAUACUGGGAAGCUAGAGUAUGGGAGAGGAUGGUAGAAUUCCAGGUGUAGCGGUGAAAUGCGUAGAGAUCUGGAGGAAUACCGAUGGCGAAGGCAGCCAUCUGGCCUAAUACUGACGCUGAGGUACGAAAGCAUGGGGAGCAAACAGGAUUAGAUACCCGGGUAGUCCCUGUCUCUUAUAU